rnacentral:rRNA from 1 species
UACGGAGGGUGCAAGCGUUAUCCGGAUUCACUGGGUUUAAAGGGUGCGUAGGCGGGCAGGUAAGUCAGUGGUGAAAUCUCAGAGCUUAACUCUGAAACUGCCAUUGAUACUAUCUGUCUUGAAUGUUCUGGAGGUGAGCGGAAUAUGUCAUGUAGCGGUGAAAUGCUUAGAUAUGACAUAGAACACCAAUUGCGUAGGCAGCUCACUACGGGAAUAUUGACACUGAGGCACGAAAGCGUGGGGAUCAAACAGG